CAAAAAAUAAAAUCAGUAAGAGACAGAAACGAAGACAGGUCCGUUUUUUUCAUUUUCUGAGACCGGAAGUGGUCAUCAGCAAGUGUGGAGCCAAACGACAACAAGAUUCUCAGAGGGCGGAGCCAGAGAGCAGUGAUUGGUCAGACCAUAGCUAGCGUAUCUAGUCUUCUAUGCAUAUCUAUGGUCGGCACAUCUGGUAGCAUCUCUGGCUGCUGUUGACCUUGUUUUUGGAGUAAAACACGGUGGAAGCUGAAUUAGUGAGGAUGACUCCUGCUCCUGUCAUCUCUAAGCUCCUCACACAUCUUUACCUGCACAUGAGGAAAAUCACUCCUGUAGAAUGCAGAUGUUCAGAGGGAGAUGAUGCCACAUCUGGUCCAGCCGAUGGAAGGUCUUGAAGUUCUCUGACUGGCCUGGACUGAAGAUGGUCGUCUCACUGGAUUUAAGUUGCUGAAGUCACCGCAUGGGUGGAGCCAAGGCGGAGUCUGGGUGGAGUCAGGGCGGAGAGUAGGCGGGGAGGUGGGUGGCGGCCUCCCCCCUCUACUCCCCCACCUCCCCUCACCGCCCACCACACCUUCCCCCGCCCGACGAGUUCUUCGAGUCUCCACGAGUUCUUCGAGUCUCGACGGGUUUUCCCCA
ensembl:lncRNA